UAAUCAUAACUUUGUCAAGCCCAUAAUUAAUAUAUGAUAGUAAAUCUCAUGAUUUUAAGUGUACAAACAUCACAUUUAAACAUAACUACUUCAUAAUCAAAUUCCACAUAAAUCAAACACAAAUGGUUUAGUUCAUAGUGAGCAAGACAAAAAAAACAUACACAAGGAACAUAGGUAUAGAUCCAUUACAACUUAAAAUAAGUGAACUAGAAAUAGCCCAAGUUGAAUCACCAAAGAGAACUAGAAACUUAACUACCAUUUGCUCUGGUAGGUGAUACAUGACCUCGCUCGGCUAUACUAUGGAGAAAUGAGAAGAAAUGAUAAGUAUGUAAAUGGAGGUAGGAGGUAGAUGAAGAGAAGCAGCCCCAAUCGAAGGUAGAGUAGAUAGUUUCUUAAUAUUA
rnacentral:lncRNA from 1 species